rnacentral:ncRNA from 1 species
GGAGGAGCCUCUGGAGAGAACCGUUGAAUCGGUCGCCGAAGGAGCAAACUUGAUUUCAAGUGAAACUCUCAGGCAAAAGGACAGAGGAGAUAAC